UGGGGAAUCUUCCGCAAUUGACGAAAGUCUGACGGAGCAACGCCGCGUGAGUGAAGACGGCCUUCGGGUUGUAAAGCUCUGUUAUUCGGGAAGAACGAUUCGUUUGUGAACAAUGAACGGAAGUGACGGUACCGAAAGAGAAAGCCACGGCUAACUACGUGCCAGCAGCCGCGGUAAUACGUAGGUGGCAAGCGUUGUCCGGAAUUAUUGGGCGUAAAGAGCGCGUAGGCGGUAUGGUAAGUCUGUCUUAGAAGUGCGGGGCUUAACCCCGUGAGGGGACAGAGACUGUCAUACUGGAGUCUCGGAGAGGAAAGCGGAAUUCCUAGUGUAGCGGUGAAAUGCGUAGAGAUUAGGAAGAACACCGGUGGCGAAGGCGGCUUUCUGGACGAGCACUGACGCUGAGGCGCGAAAGCGUGGGGAGCGAACAGG
rnacentral:rRNA from 1 species